rnacentral:rRNA from 1 species
UGGGGAAUCUUGCACAAUGGGGGAAACCCUGAUGCAGCGACGCCGCGUGAGCGAUGAAGCCCUUCGGGGUGUAAAGCUCUUUCGGCAGGGUCGAAAGUGACGGUACCUGCAGAAGCAGCUGCGGCUAACUACGUGCCAGCAGCCGCGGUAAUACGUAGGCAGCGAGCGUUGUUCGGAGUUACUGGGCGUAAAGGGUGUGUAGGCGGUUCUCUAAGUUUGGUGUGAAAUCUCCCGGCUUAACCGGGAGGGUGCGCCGAAAACUGGGGAGCUAGAGUGCGGGAAGGGAGAGUGGAAUUCCUGGUGUAGCGGUGAAAUGCGUAGAUAUCAGGAGGAACACCGGUGGUGUAGACGGCUCUCUGGACCGUAACUGACGCUGAGACACGAAAGCGUGGGUAGCAAACA